rnacentral:rRNA from 1 species
GAUGAACGCUGGCGGCGUGCUUAACACAUGCAAGUCGAACGAAGCACUUUAUUUGAUUUCCUUCGGGACUGAUCAUUUUGUGACUGAGUGGCGGACGGGUGAGUAACGCGUGGGUAACCUGCCUUGUACAGGGGGAGAACAGUAGGCAACGGCUGCUAAUACCGCAUAAGCGCACAGCAUCGCAUGAUGCAGUGUGAAAAACUCCGGUGGUAUAAGAUGGACCCGCGUUGGUUAAGCUAGUUGGUGCGGUAACGGCCCACCAAGGCGACGAUCCAUAGCCGACAUGAGAGGGUGACCGGCCACAUUGGGACUGGGACACGGCCCAGACUCCUACGGGAGGCAGCAGUGGGGAAUAUUGCAAAAUGGGCGAAAGCCUGAUGCAGCGACGACGGGUGAGCGAAGAAGUAUUUCGGUAUGUAAAGCUCUAUCAGCAGGGAAGAUAAUGACGGUACCUGACUAAGAAGCACCGGCUAAAUACGUG